GGCUCCUGGUGUAGUGGUUUGGAUGUUGGAUUAAAACCCUGGAGACCAAGGUUCAAUUCCCUGCUCAGCCA